rnacentral:rRNA from 1 species
CACAUGCAGUCGAACGGAGCUGAGAGGAGCUUGCUUUUCUUAGCUUAGUGGCGAACGGGUGAGUAACGCGUGAGUAACCUGCCCUGGAGUGGGGGACAACAGUUGGAAACGACUGCUAAUACCGCAUAAGCCCACGGCCCGGCAUCGGGCUGAGGGAAAAGGAUUUAUUCGCUUCAGGAUGGACUCGCGUCCAAUUAGCUAGUUGGUGAGGUAACGGCCCACCAAGGCGACGAUUGGUAGCCGGACUGAGAGGUUGAACGGCCACAUUGGGACUGAGACACGGCCCAGACUCCUACGGGAGGCAGCAGUGGGGGAUAUUGCACAAUGGGGGAAACCCUGAUGCAGCGACGCCGCGUGGAGGAAGAAGGUUUUCGGAUUGUAAACUCCUGUCGUUAGGGACGAUAAUGACGGUACCUAACAAGAAAGCACCGGCUAACUACGUGCCAGCAGCCGCGGUAAAACGUAGGGUGCAAGCGUUGUCCGGAAUUACUGGGUGUAAAGGGAGCGCAGGCGGACCGGCAAGUUGGAAGUGAAAACUAUGGGCUCAACCCAUAAAUUGCUUUCAAAACUGCUGGCCUUGAGUAGUGCAGAGGUAGGUGGAAUUCCCGGUGUAGCGGUGGAAUGCGUAGAUAUCGGGAGGAACACCAGUGGCGAAGGCGACCUACUGGGCACCAACUGACGCUGAGGCUCGAAAGCAUGGGUAGCAAACAGGAUUAGAUACCCUGGUAGUCCAUGCCGUAAACGAUGAUUACUAGGUGUUGGAGGAUUGACCCCUUCAGUGCCGCAGUUAACACAAUAAGUAAUCCACCUGGGGAGUACGACCGCAAGGUUGAAACUCAAAGGAAUUGACGGGGGCCCGCACAAGCAGUGGAGUAUGUGGUUUAAUUCGAAGCAACGCGAAGAACC